UGCAAAUUAAACAAAAAUAAUCAAAACUAAUUCAAACUAAGGACACAAAAGAUCAUAUUAUACUCUAGCUAUAGCUUUUGUACCACCUUUGAUCAAUUUUGGUAAACCAACAUGCUAAUUCCUCACAAAAAUAGCAAAAUCAUAAAAUACAGAAUGAAGGUCAACUUCUCUUACAUUAGGUGUCACUAUUUGCAUCUUCUUCCUAGAUACAGAUGGAAUGCCCCGCAACCUUGAAUGAGUUUCCAAAGACCUACGUACAAAAGAUAUACAUUCAUUAUAUCAUUAUAAUCAUAUAGGAAGGAAACAAAAUAGAAAGGAAAACUUACGCCUCUAAAGUUGUUAUAGAGGAGACAAUUGUGGUUGUGGAGGUGUAACAAUGUUUGUCUUCUUAGAAAUGUCCUACAUUUGACCAUAAAAUAAGUCUAAUAUAUGCAUCAAAAUACAAGAAAUACAUAAGUAAUUAAGGUAAGUAUGAAUAACAAUACUUACUAAAAUUGACUAUCUGGAUGGCCAAAUGACAAAUUUCCCUGGUGCUUGUCCCACUGUUUGAACCUCCUCACUAGGCACAGGAACACAAGCAGAACAAUCUUUAAUAUCUACAAUCACCACUCGCAUCAUAUCAUCUUUAAUAGUCUCAUGGUGGAUGGUGUUUCCCAAAUUAUAUCUUUUACCUAAGACACAAAAGUAGAUGACAAUUGUUGAGUACAACUAGAUAGAGAACUUAUUUCUAGGUCAAUUAUAUAUUUUAACAAAUAUACAUAAAAAUGAAUCAACAUUGUCAUGCAGACGAUUGGCAUUGCUAAGCAUCGACAUGGUCUACUGGUUUUUGAUUUUCCUAAACAUACUUUGUCCAAUGUUAAUUUCACUUCUUGUAAUAAUGUUAACUACAAUAUUUGGCAUAGAUUGGUAUGUAUUUUCCUUUUAAAGAUUAUCACAUCCCUGCUUAAACUUAUAAUUUUUUAAUCCUGUCAUACUUGUUAUUGAUCAUGUUGAUAAUUCUGAUGAAACUCAAAUCAUUGAUAGUAUUCAAGGUGCUUCAAACCUUAGAUGUUAUGAUUCUUCUAAUGAUAAUGAUCAAAAUGUCUCUCCAAGUAACACAUAUUUGGAUAAUACUGCUACUAAUCCCAGUAACAAUCAUUCUGAUAUUGUCACUCACCCUAUGUACAAAACAACCAUAGUUACUACUACUCCUUCUUACCUCUCUUAAUUAUCAUUGUUAUAAUGUUACUAAUGGAUUUUCUUCUCUUUAUCCUAUACAAUAGUUAGAAGACAAUAUUUGAAUCACAAAAAAACAAAUAAUUAGCACUCCUGAUUGUAACCUUUUUCACAUAUCGUUGUUUUACAGUUUCUGUUUUCUCUCCAAUUCGUAUUCACAGUGCUAUAUUUCUGCUAAAUCUAAUUGCUAAUUACGUAGAGUCUUUACGAAAGCCACACCACAUCAGAAAGGGUACUGAAACAUAACUCUAAUAUGUGAAAUUUAACAUUCAAUAGUUAGUCUUUGUCCCGUUCCUGAACCAGCAUUCACAAAUAUUAUCAAUCUUUACAGAUAAAAAUAAAUAUCUACAGGAUUGGUUCAGUAAUCAUUCAUGGAUUUGGUUUUAAUUCAUCUCCUCUCUGCCCAAAAUUUCAUGAUUUAAUUGUUGAUUAUAUUUACAUGAUUUAUAGAUAAACAUUUGAGACAUUCAAUAACCCAGAAAAGUUUUCGUAGCUACUAAAAUUGUAUAACAUUGUUCAUAACAUAUAUUAUAUAGCCCAAAUGAAUGCAUAGUUGUUAGUCUUCUUUUUAUUAUUAGCAAACAAAUUAGGAGUAAUAAAGGCAGUUGGGCAUGGAUGAGUCACUUUUUGAAUAAAGGCUUUUUUAGAUUUGACAUUACAUGAGUGGGUACUGGGAACAUCUUUGGUAAAUAAUGG
rnacentral:lncRNA from 1 species